rnacentral:rRNA from 1 species
UGGGGAAUAUUGCACAAUGGGCGCAAGCCUGAUGCAGCCAUGCCGCGUGUGUGAAGAAGGCCUUCGGGUUGUAAAGCACUUUCAGCGAGGAGGAAGGUGGUGAGCUUAAUACGCUCAUCAAUUGACGUUACUCGCAGAAGAAGCACCGGCUAACUCCGUGCCAGCAGCCGCGGUAAUACGGAGGGUGCAAGCGUUAAUCGGAAUUACUGGGCGUAAAGCGCACGCAGGCGGCUUGUUAAGUCAGAUGUGAAAUCCCCGGGCUCAACCUGGGAACUGCAUUUGAAACUGGCAAGCUAGAGUCUCGUAGAGGGGGGUAGAAUUCCAGGUGUAGCGGUGAAAUGCGUAGAGAUCUGGAGGAAUACCGGUGGCGAAGGCGGCCCCCUGGACGAAGACUGACGCUCAGGUGCGAAAGCGUGGGGAGCAAACAGAUUAG